UACGUAGGUGGCAAGCGUUGUCCGGAAUUAUUGGGCGUAAAGCGCGCGCAGGCGGUCCUUUAAGUCUGAUGUGAAAGCCCACGGCUCAACCGUGGAAGGUCAUUGGAAACUGGAGGACUUGAGUACAGAAGAGGAAAGCGGAAUUCCACGUGUAGCGGUGAAAUGCGUAGAGAUGUGGAGGAACACCAGUGGCGAAGGCGGCUCUCUGGGACGGUACUGACGCUGAGACGCGAAAGCGUGGGGAGCGAACAGG
rnacentral:rRNA from 1 species